GUACCCCAAACCGACACAGGUGGUCAGGUAGAGAAUACCAAGGCGCUUGAGAGAACUCGGGUGAAGGAACUAGGCAAAAUGGUGCCGUAACUUCGGGAGAAGGCACGCUGAUGGUAGGUGAAGCGACUUGCUCGUGGAGCUGAAAUCAGUCGAAGAUACCAGCUGGCUGCAACUGUUUAUUAAAAACACAGCACUGUGCAAACACGAAAGUGGACGUAUACGGUGUGACGCCUGCCCGGUGCCGGAAGGUUAAUU
rnacentral:rRNA from 1 species